GGGAGGCUUAGUUUCACUGCGUGAACUUGGGGCUCACCGCUGCCCUCAGCUCCAGGUUCGGGGCGAGCGCAGAGCGAGUGCAGGAGGCGGAUCCUGGACUGUGAACUGACGCGCGGCGCACACCGGCCAUGAACCUGGAGGGCAGCGGCCGAGGCGGAGAGUUCGGCAUGAGCUCCGUGAGCUGCGGCAACGGGAAGCUCCGCCAGUGGCUCAUCGACCAGAUCGACAGCGGCAAGUACCCGGGGCUGGUGUGGGAGAACGAGGAGAAAAGCAUCUUCCGCAUCCCCUGGAAGCACGCGGGCAAGCAGGACUACAACCGCGAGGAGGACGCCGCCCUCUUCAAGGCUUGGGCGCUAUUUAAAGGAAAGUUCCGAGAAGGCAUCGACAAGCCAGACCCUCCCACCUGGAAGACACGCUUACGCUGUGCUCUGAACAAGAGCAACGACUUCGAGGAGCUGGUGGAGAGGAGCCAGCUGGACAUCUCGGACCCCUACAAAGUGUACAGGAUCGUCCCCGAGGGGGCCAAGAAAGGAGCCAAGCAGCUGACCCUGGAGGACCCACAGAUGCCCAUGAGCCACCCCUACGGCAUGCCAGCCCCUUACACCUCACUCCCAGCUCAGCAGGUUCACAACUAUAUGAUUCCGCCCCACGACCGAGGAUGGAGGGAGUUCGUCCCUGAUCAGCCACACCCGGAGAUCCCAUACCAGUGUCCUGUGACCUUUGGACCCCGCAGCCACCACUGGCAAGGCCCGGCCUGUGAAAAUGGUUGCCAGGUGACAGGAACCUUUUAUGCUUGUGCCCCGCCUGAGUCCCAGGCCCCCGGAAUCCCCAUAGAGCCAAGCAUAAGGUCUGCCGAAGCCUUGGCCCUCUCAGACUGCCGGCUCCACAUCUGCCUGUACUACCGGGAAAUCCUGGUGAAAGAGCUGACCACGUCCAGCCCCGAAGGCUGCCGGAUCUCCCAUGGCCACACCUACGAUGCCAGCAGCCUGGACCAGGUCGUUUUUCCCUACCCAGAGGACAGCGGCCAGAGGAAGAACAUUGAGAAGCUGCUGAGCCAUCUGGAAAGGGGCGUGGUCCUCUGGAUGGCCCCCGAUGGGCUUUAUGCCAAGAGACUUUGCCAGAGCAGGAUCUACUGGGACGGGCCCCUGGCGCUGUGCAGUGACCGGCCCAACAAGCUGGAGAGAGAGCAGACCUGCAAGCUGUUUGACACACAGCAGUUCUUAUCAGAGCUCCAGGCAUUUGCUCACCACGGCCGGCCCCUGCCAAGGUUCCAGGUGACUCUGUGCUUCGGGGAAGAGUUUCCGGACCCCCAGAGGCAACGGAAGCUCAUCACUGCUCACGUCGAACCUCUCCUAGCCAGGCAGCUGUACUAUUUUGCUCAGCAGAACAGUGGACACUUCCUGAGGGGCUACGAUCUGCCCGAGCACGUGGGCAGCCCGGAGGACUUCCACAGGUCCAUGCGCCACUCCUCCAUUCAAGAGUGAACCUCCAGGCCGAGAGGCCGUCGCCUUGUAAAUGCCCGACUCUGAGAACAGCGGGUUGAGCCCCCACUUUUUCUUUCGAGGGACGUGGAGACUGGGGCUUCGCUUCCACACUUGCGGACAAUGUGUGUGGACACUCUUCUCCCCCGAAUUGACAGACACGCUUUUUCCAAAAGCAAAGAUGGCAUUCGAGGUCUUCUGCCAACACCACACCAAUGAUAAUGUGAAAAGCUCACCCAAGUGUCUUUAUGUUUACCGAAGUGCUGUCUCCAAUCGGACACGGACUCUCCUCCUGGAGCCCAGAGAGAGCCUGCACCCGUCACCCCGACGACAGCAUGAGAGCUCCAGGUGCUGUGUUUCUCAGGGAAGUCAAGGUCUGAGGCUGUUCUGCCCCCAGAAGAGACAUGCUGAUACCUCUUCGCUGUGUUCUGCAAAGCCUGCCCAGAGCAGGGCACAUGCUCUGCUGCGGGUGGGCCAUGCCUCGGAGCCCAGAAGCCGGAUGGAGAGACUCUGUUGCUUUCUUGAGCCAAAAAGCAGUAGGGCCCCCUGAGUAGUGCGUUUUGUCCUGUGCUGACUGGUUAAGACAUUUCUUGUUUGUCUUUUUGUAUCUCUUCCUAUAGACAUUGUUGCUGAAACUUUUUUCUUAAAGACAAAGAAAACCACCCAGACCAACAAGCCAAGGUUUGGAACUUGGUGGAGGUUCCCUCCUGCCCUGCUUGUUUUGUUUGGAGGCCGGUUCUCCAUGACAACCCCAAGAGGAGGAGCCAGAGCUUGUCAAAGUGGUGACCUCUGUAGGAAAGAUAGGACAGGGCCUCAGGGAUUGUGUAACUGCAGACUCAGUGGGCUGUUUCUGCUUAUUUUGUAUAUUAUAUGCUUCCUCAUGCCAGUAACAGUUUGACAGGGCCUUAAAAUUCCUGGGCUUUUUCCAAAUCCAUCUUUUUAUAGAACCACUGAGAUCUCCACUUGCUUAAGUAAACUUGCACUUAUGUUCCUUUUGGAAACAUACAGGUGUCUAGGCUGUGAUGGAGCUGCUGAUACUUUUGUCCCGCUAGGAAGUAACUGCCAUUACUUUUAAGCUCAGCAAUAGACUUGUUCUCAAAUAUUCUAUUCUAAUAUUUUUAAAUUCAUUUAACAAACUGUAUCCCUUGCAUUAGAGAGAUUACAGCUUUUAUGCAGUUUAGUCAGCAACGAAGUCUUGGAAUGUCAUUUCUUUCUUGUUUGGGGGAGGUUUUUAGCAAUAAAAAAACACAUAUUGACCCCACAGAAUGUCAACAGUAGAAAAGGGCAACAAAUAAAGCGAGUCUUCCCUUUUUCCAGCCCAAAUCCUUGUCCCUAGAAGUGUCCCCAGGAGGAGCUUAGUUCUUCCAACAUGUUUCACUUUUCUAUAAAUAUACACAGCCCUGAAAACCUCACGGGUUCGUUGCGCACUUUUACGCAGUGUUCACUCCGCCCGUGCGGCUCUGCUGCCUUCUUCUCAGCGGCAUCACUAGAAUCUGCGGGCAAGGGCAUCCACACAGUUUCCGGUGGUUCAUCACCCCUCGGAGCAAGUACGUCUGGACGGUUGCCUGUGCUCCAUGGGCUGCAGCGUUGUAUGCAUCUAAUAGAUGCGAGGAUUUGGGGUACAUUAUCCUAAGGGGGCUGCUGGGGCCCUGUGGGCGUGGACCACCGGCGCCUGGAGCAGCGGGGCUGUCCCGGCUGUUCCGUCCUCCCGGAGGACUUCAGCGACGCUGAGGACGCUUCCCUUUUCUCCCUUUUCAACGUUAAGAGUUAAAAGUUAGGAGUUAAGCUGCUGUAACUCUGGAGUCUCAUUUUCCGGAAAUGCGCUUCCCAGGGGCCGCUCCCCUUCCCCCUCUGCCCUCAUGUGCUCACGUUGGCUCUUCUUGGUUCUGAGGAUCCAGAGUGUGAGGCAGCAAAUGAACUGGUGAGGAGACUGUGGGUAGAGGAUCCUGACAGGCGUCUCAGGACCGUGAAAGGGAGCCUCCUUCCUAGACUGGGCGGUGGGCUCAGCAAACCGGAAUGUAGUUUGUUCUCGGUGGAAGAUGAUGUGAAUAUAGGCCCCUGUUAAUUCUUUUUUUUUUUUUUUUUUUUUGCCUUUUAGGGCCACACCUGCAGUAUAUGGAGGUUUGCAGUGUAGGGGUCAGAUCAGCGCUACAGCUGCCAACCUGCACCACAGCUCACGGCAACGCCGGAUCCCCGACCCACUGAGCGAAGCCAGGGGUCGAACCCACAUCCUCAUGGUUCCUAGUAGGAUUCUGCUGCACCAUGAAGGGAGCUCCAAGGCCGCUUGUUAUUCUAAAGAGCUUUUAGGUCGCGGGGGGAAAGAUUCGUAGGUCGUGGGGACGUUCAUGGCUCAUUUCUUGCUCUUGGGAUUAGUAAAGCUGCGGGCUGUAAUUGGUGUCUUCUGGAACACUACAGAGAGCACGCUUAAACCAAAGCUUCAGAAAACCCUCAGUCACGGGCAAGGGCACAGAGCACCCAGGGGGACGGUGGUGUCUGAGCUGAAGGCACUGCUCCGCUGGGGGAGAAUCCACAGUCCGCCAGCACAGGGAGCCCGCGGCAGUGUGUGCACCCCCGGAGCACAGCCAUUAUUUUCACAACUUUUAGAAAAGCAUUUACGUGGAGGAGAAGAGACAGGCCAACCUCGUUCAGUACAAACUCACACUUUGCUGCGGACUCUGGAGGGGAGGGGCCGACAGGUAGCCGUGCGCCCUCCGGCCUCCACUCUCCCGGGCGCUGCCUGGACCUCACUCUGACGCUGUGCUGGUUCAUCUCCUAUUCUGCCUCCUGGGCAAGGAUGUCUCGAGAGCUAGGCUAAGUGUCCGUUGGACAUUUGUACAUAACUGUAUCAUGAAUUUUGGAUUAAAUUGCUUUUCAAA
rnacentral:lncRNA from 1 species